rnacentral:tRNA from 1 species
GUCUUCGUGGUGUAGUGGUCCGCACACUCGGCCCGUAUUCGAGAGGUCCAUGGUUCGAGUCCCGGCGAGGGCA